CCUACGGGCGGCUGCAGUGGGGAAUAGUCUACAAUGGACGAAAGUCUGAUAGUGCGACGCCGCGUGAACGAAGAAUCCCUUCGGGGUGUAAAGUUCUUUUAUAUGUGAGCAAUGCCUUGUAUGUGAAUAGCAUGCAGGGAGAGAUAUUAGCAUAUGAAUAAGCAACGGCUAACUCCGUGCCAGCAGCCGCGGUAACACGGGGGUUGCAAGCGUUGUCCGGAAUUACUAGGCGUAAAGGGCAGGUAGGCGGAUCUAUAAGUUUGAUGGUUAAAGGCAGCGGCUCACCCGCUGUAGGGCCUCAGAUACUGUAGAUCUGGAAUACGGUUGAGGAAGACAGAAUUCCUGGUGUAGCGGUGGAAUGCGCAGAGAUCAGGAGGAAUACCAAAGGCGAAGGCAGUCUUCUAAGCCGUUAUUGACGCUAAACUGCGAAGGUGUGGGUAUCAAACAGGAUUAGAUACCCCAGUAGUC
rnacentral:rRNA from 1 species